UUCCCAAAAAAGUCCAAACGUCCCACAUCCCAACAAGGUGGUUUUUAGGAUGUCCUUUAGACAUGUGCAUAGGGAUCAUUCCUAAAACAUCCCUUCUAGGAUCUGAUUGGGACUUCAAGUUAGCGGUGAAAUAAGCUACUGUGUUGAAAAUUGGCGAUCCUAAAGAAUCGGAAACAGCAACUCCGCCGAAGAGCAUGGUUGGCGCGCGUGCACAAUUGCAUAUCUACAUGCACAUGAAAAACAUUAUAUCCGCGUUUUUUGUGAAAGUGUUCGUUUCUUUUUUUGUUUCUUUCUAAAUGUCGCGCCGUUAUGAGGACGAGGGAUCGAUUGCUGUCUGCGUGAGCAAGUGUUGCACUUGGUAAAGGCGGUACGACACACGUACUCGCGCCACUGUGCUCACUGCUCACGCACGCCGUGCUUUGCCGCACUGCACAAGCGGUGGUGUGGUGGUGUCGUAUUUAUAAAAACACCGACAUAUUAACUUUAGAAGAAUUGAAUGAAAUAUUGUUAUUUUAUUGUUUUAUUCUUAGGUUUAAUACGCAAUUGUUCUUUAAUUGCGCUUACUGCGAGCCAACACCUGCUCAAAUAAUUUGCUGCGAGCACUGCGCAGACAUUGCCAUCGCCAUCAUGGCGCCCGGCAUGUUUGGAGUUCGGACAGAUCAGACUCUUCGUUGGCCUCGUUUUUAGGUGUUUGAUCCGUGACGUUUCGUCGAAAAAUCACAAGAGCGCAUGCCGUAGGUGUUUGCCUGGUUGCAAGAUCUUGCCGAUUUCAACGUUUUUCCACCUCUUCGGUUGGCGUACGCUGAGCUGGACCCUCGCAGCAAGAAUGGCACGUGGGAAUUGACACCGCGAUCGUGGAACACAUGGCUGAUCUGCCUCGAAUAACUGCAAGCCGGCGCGUGCGUAGUGCCGUGGAGAACGAUCAGAAGUCCUGGACGACAAAGAAAAAAACUUCAAAGGUUUGUUGUACAUGUUUUCCACGACAACUGACAUAAACGUAAAAAAAAAUUGGAAUGGUCAAAUGCAUGUGUCACGUUUAUCCAUUUGUAGUGGGCUGUGGACAUGAAUUAAGCAUUGCUGCACACAAGACUGGCUUGCCCUCAGUUUAUGCCCAGCACCAAAUUUUUUGCUCUCAUUAUGACACCAUUUGUAAGAAAAGCCAGAACUUAUGUUCAAAACAGCGCAUAUUCAUGCUAUUCUUUUAUUCAGUUGCAUGUGUGAGUCCUGCUGCUGGCCAUCAGUUAGCCGGUUAUCAGAAGAAAAGGGCACAGCCCAGUUUUGUAUUGGUACAUACCGUAUCGUUUGUGAUUAUGAUCAUGAUUUUUGUCUUACUGAAACAAGAAACUGAAAAAUGUAUGUUGGUGUUUCUGCUACAUCUCUAUGAAGCAGCAGAACCUGUUGCUCAGUCACUUGGUGCAUAUUAGCAACUGGCACCUUGCCUGGCUUCCCUAUACCUCCGCUUUUUUUCAGUGCAUGUUGUUUUCAUCCUUUACCAGCAGUCAAGUAGUUUCACACAACCGAAAUGACCAACUAGCCCACUUUGUUUGUCAAGUAGAUUUGUGAUAUGCACUGUUGCUCAAUGAUAUUCUUUUUGCAUGUGCUAUCUGUGUACACAUAUUACAUGAUCUUUUUUUCUUUUUUUCAGCUGGUUCUAGUAGUGGUGCCCCUGGUGUGCACCUUUACCCCAAAUGUCUGCACCUUUGCCUACCGGUAAUGACAUAGAAAGUGCUCAGCUUCCUGGACAUAGGCAUGCAGGUUACGAGACGGAAAACGUGCAGCUUAGACUUAAUGCUUGUAAAUGCGAAAAUCGUAACUGACAUAAUUAGAGUAAGCUAAAAGGAGAAAUUUCUGCUUAUGAGCUAGUAAUUAUGAAGCAGGUUUUACUCCUCUUAAACUAGCAGACAUGCAACAACACUGUUGUGCUAUGUUUGUUUUGUGCGCCAUUUUCAUGCAUAUUUGUGCUUGCAGUGGAUAUGCAUAUACAUGAAGGAUUUGUUUUUGUUUUCCUCAGCUGCCUCUGCGAACCCCGCUCCUGGACAACAGCUGGGAGGCUCUGUGUUUAAACGCGUGCACCUUGGACGUCAUGCUCGUAAAUACCAAUUCCUUUGUCAUUCCUGGCAUGAAUUUUGUUGGUAAAGCAAUAGGUAAAAUUGUGCAUUGUUGUUUACAAUCACUUCAGUAUGAACCAGGCUUAAAGGAGAAGGGACCGACAACUGGCCAGAACUUGUGAUUAGAUCCUGUCAGAAAUGAAAAUACCGCGCUAUAUGCUGACAUAUUCCAGCAUCCUUUUCGCGCUGUGAGUAGGAUUUAUAUCUCUAAAUUGUGUUUAAAAGUAACAAAAAAAUUAUGUUGUGCAACCUAUCGCAAGAGCCUUGAAGCUAGAUUGCAGAGUUGAUCACUUUGCUGUACAAAGUCACGUAGUCUGAUACCGUCAUGUGUGCCAUUAUUGGUCCUAAAAAUAUUAGUAUGUAUAUUACUAUCCAUCCCCGCUCUAUUCUGUGCUGCUUAUGAGGUAAAAGGAGUUGCAUGGUGACAAGAAACGGCGCUGCCUUCGCGGUAGCCAGUGGACCAUGUCGAGCCGCAGCACAUGCGCGCGAGUACACACACACGCAGUAAACCGCCGCGCUCGAACACGAACCGCUGUCACGCUCACUGUUUGCAGCAUGCCUUGUUACGUGUGUAUACAACUUCAUAUCCGUCGCAGAUAGAAAAAUUCGAAUUACAAAUGUUUCACGGCAUUUUCCACAUCACCAUUCCUUGAUUAUACACUCUUGACUGGUAAGCUUUCUGUCGCGCUAAAGAAAAUAGGUACCAUAAAAGUUGGUUGUCGGUCCCUUUAACCUCUUAACACACACAGGUCAAAAUAGGCAUGCUAUAUCCCCGUUGUGCACCAUCUUUGUGCGUUUGUGUGUGCAGUAUGGACAUGUACAUUAAGGCUUUGUUUUUGUUCUCAGCUGCCUCUGCGAGCCCUGCUGUUGGACGCCAGCUGGAAUGCUCUGCGUUUGAAAGCGUGCGCCCCAGAUGUCAUACUCAUAAAUACAGAGUUCUCAUGAUUCUAGUGUUGAAAAAGCAAUAAGUAAAAGCAGGCACUUGUGCAUCUGGAAUGAGGUUUAACCCUGUCUCAGGAGACAUAAGACAAUAUAGUCAUGCUAUGUUCCUGUUGUUCACCAUUUUCAUGCAUGUUGUGUGCAGUACGUAUACAUACAUGCAGGCUUUGUUUUUGUUGCCCUCAGCUGCCUCUGCAAGCCCUUUUGCUGGACGCCAUGGAAGGCCCUCCACUCGAAAGUGUGCACCUUAGACUACACGCUCAUCAAUACCAAGUUCUUUGUCCUUCUCGGCAUGAUUGUAGUGCCAUAUAAUAGUGAGGCAAUAAAUCAUUUUUGCUGGUCACUUGAUGUUCCAUGCAUGUUGCUUGGUUUCUGAACACUUGACUUGGUUUUAAGUUAUCUAGUUAUCUAUGUGA